GCCGAGAGAGUAGGUCGUCAGGCGGCCCUUGAGUUUUUUUCUCUUAGUGUAAACGUGUGCUGCGCGCUUAGCCGUCCAACCGGCUCUCGCCACGCCCAUCUUCAGGGUCCCGCUGGUUCGGUCGACAGCCCGGUUUCCGGAGAAGCCGCGUCCUCUCCCCGGUCCUGGGAUUCUGGAGAGCCCGGCCGGCCCCCGAGACCCCCUUUCUCCCACCCUCUGCCCUCGCGUCUCCUCAGGCCAAUCGUUCUGUCCCGCAGGCCUCCCUUCCUGGGAUGGUUAACCUUCAAGGAUGUGGUGAUCGAAUUCUCUCAGGAGAAGUGGGAAUGCCUGGACCCUGUUCAGAGGGCCUUGUACAGGGACAUGAUGCUGGAGACCUAGAAGAACCUGCUCUCCCUGGAUCUAUCUAUCUGAUACAUGUGGUCAACCAAUUACAACCCAAAGCAGACAGUGAUACAGGAGAAGUAUUCCAAACAGCAAUCUUGGGAAGACCUAAAAGUCAUGAAAUCAAACAUUUUUACCUCAGAGAACUCCAGGAAGACAUGUAUGACUUUGAGUAUCAUUGGAGAAGUGGUGGAAGAAAUAACAAAGGAACGCGUAUAACUCAUGACAGAAAUCUCACUGAUGGCAGAGGUCAACAAUGUAGAAAGGAUGUGGAAAUCAAGCCCUUUGUAAAUAGGCUUGGAUUUAACAUGCAGGAUAAACUUCAGAUAUUUCAAACUGACGGGAUAAUUUCUGAAUGUAAUAAAGUUACAAGGUAGUCAACAGUAGUUU